GUCAUAACGUCAAGAGCCGCGGAAGGCUACGUCACAGUGGUUACGUCACAGUGCCUAGGUCAUAGUGCUUACCGCGUUCACGUCGCUUCCUCUCAUCGUGGGGGCAUUUUAUCACCUGACGACAAACACCACGGCAACACGUAGGAUGUUUUCGUUUCAUCCGUUAAAGCUGAAAUCGAGUCUGGGAUGCAUUUUUGAGGCUCUUACCAAGAUGUCAUAAGAAACCCCAAUGGAGGCCAUGGCCUAAGUGCUCUCCACUUCUUGUCUGCUGCCUCCUGACUACUCUGGAGUUUCUCCAUAAUGGUGCUGGGUGGUGUGCUCUGUCUCCUGUCUCUAGGACCUAUGGGAAGCAGGAGCUACCUAAGAUACUGUUACUGAGGAUGAACUCAGUACAUUGAAUUACUACUGGGGCAACUCUCCUUUUUCCCAGUGGCAUUGGCUCCAUCCAUUGAACAGAUAAGGAGCCGAGGCACACAAGAUGGGCCUCAGAAAAUGAUGUUUCUGCUUUCCUUUGCCCUGUCUUGAUGAUCAAAGAGGGUGUUAGGAGCCCAGCUGAACCGGAAGUAAAAUGGCCUGUGACUCAGAACCAGUCCUGAGGAGUAAAAAUCCAAUUCUGUUAAAAACGGGUACAUAAUCCACUGUGUGGUGAAAAGAGCCCUGAGCUAAUCAGAAGACACGGGUUAAUGGUUCUGGUUUUUUUCAUUUAACCAGGCUUCAGCUGUCAAGUUUACACCCCAGACUCUCAAGAGAAGAAAGAAGGGGAAAAAAGGCCCACAUCUACACUGGGCUGACUCCCUUUAAAGAGACUUCUCAGCUGUCCCACACCAUAAUUCUGCUUUCAUCUCACUAGUCCAAACUCAGUGUCAAAGUCACCUCUAACUGCAAAAGAGGCUUGGAAAUGCAGUGCUUCAGCUGGUGAUGCAUUCCUAACACGAGUGAACUCAACAAAGGACAUGAGUAGAUCCGAGAAGCACCAAGAAUGAUUGUAGCCGAUGCCUUUGCUUCCCAUCAGCUAUCCUCUCAGGUCUCAUUGUUCCCAGACACACCUGCAGGAAAACACGAUAGAGAAAGACACAGAGGGCCCCCAAGCUGCAGAUCCUGCCAGAAUUCUAAGGCGUUUUACGUGAACUACAUGAAGAAGUCGACAAGACCAACGAUAUUUAUAAGUGUUCUCUGUUGUAAGAUAUAUUUUGAUAUAAUUAACAACAGUUCUGAGAAAACGGGCAGGACGUUUGAGGAAACAGGCAGGAGAGGACAACUGGCUGGAAAGAGGCAGAUGAAGAGUUCCAUCUGGCAAAGAUAGAGCACAAAAGAUAAUCUGGGUCACAUUUUGGAGCUAUUGAUUAAGAGGUAACCAACAAAUACUAACAGAUUUCCCACUCAGAAGAGGGAGAUUUACUUAUUUUGGCCCAGAGGCUAAAGUCAAGGCUAUAGGUGGCUCUCCGUGGACUCCUCUGGAACAUUGUGGAUGGGAAAAUAAGCAGUACUCGUGGAGGUAAUGUGUCAGGCAAGGCUCGUCUCGGGCAACAACCACUUUCCUCUGCAGUGACCCCCAUUUCGCUUGUGGAUCAAAAAGACGUAGCCAGGAAAAGUGAGGACUGGGACUGGGCACCCGGGGUGGGGCCGAGCUGAGCCAUCGAUCAGAAGGAACACAAGUACAGUCCACACAGGGCAGUUCUGCAGCAUUUGCUCUCCAGCCUUUUGCUUCCUCUGACUGCAUUCAUCGUUGCCUUACCAGGGGUUAGAUCAAUCUAUUGCCUUUAAAGCUUGUGGUAAAGCAUCUCUUUUGAAGAAUGUGCUCUGAGGGAGAGAUCAUACUUCUUUAAAACCACCUUCUGUCGGUCUGUUUGUCCAAUGCAGGUUUCCCAGAUGCCUCAUUAGACUUUCAUUCCAAGAGCUGGCUUUCAGACCACAUUGAGCAAAUCCUCUUAAAGGUGUUAGUUGGCAUAUCAUCUUGUUAGAAGUUUCUAGAGAAGAGAAAAGUCUACUAAAUUCAGAGACAUUCUUUCCUAAUAUUGGAAUUCAAGCACCGUGACAAGUCUAUGAGAGAGAGAAAUUGUUCUCGAAGCCUGCCAUACCCAAAACGGUUUAGACUGCUUUCACAUUCCGAUACUCGACUAAAGAGUUAAUGAAGACUGUGUCUUAGCACCGGUGGUAUUUAUUUAACGUGCACUGUAAUCCCAGCUGACACUUCCUAAUGAGUUUAUUGCUGCUGUGGAGUUAAAGCUCCCCCACUCAAUAAGCAUAAACUUGAGUGUCAAAAAUGAAACAUAGUCGGCCCUGGUGCUUAAAUGGCCUGUAUCGAUCCUCCGGCAGUCUAACUGCUGUAGUCUGGUGCCAGUUCUCUAAUUUGUGCCCUGAAGUGUGCAGCCACACUUGAUUUAGAUGUCAGAAUGAGGCAGCACUCAGUUUGAGAAAUCAGCUGAAACAUUCUUAAAAAAAUUGGUCUGGAUAGCUUCACCUUGCAUUGUCAAGAUCAUUGCUCUCGUGUAAACAAGGGGCUAAAUAAUAUCAUUCCCAUAGACUUUUUUGAGGGUGUUUUAUCAAAGGAAAUGUCCUCAGAGUCAAAGCUUGCUGUGUUUUGUGCUUUAUCUGUACAGAAAAUUCCAUUUAGAGAAAUUUAAUGCCAAAGCUGUAAGAUCUGCAUUCCUAGAGAAUGACUAUUUAGGGCAUUGUCUUUGAAUAUGAAGUAAACACACACUGAGAAUGUUUGUAUGAGGUUCUUUCAAUGGCCAAGAUAUGCUCACUAUUCCUAGGAGUCAAAAGGACUCAGACAACUUAAAGAUGUGUGGCAUCUGCAAAACACCCCUAUGUUCAUAGCUAUAUUCCUGUCUCAGAGAAAUCAUCUGCCAUUUCCAAUGACAUCAAAGACGGUGGUUGAAGAGCUAACAGCAGGAAGGUCAGCCAAAUUUCUACUUAACACUGGCAAAACACGAGAGAAGCUCAUGAUCUCCUUCAAAGUUCAAAUGAAAAAUUCAAACGCUUAGAAUUAUAAUCUCGACUUUAGAAGAGACUUAUAGAUCAACUACUUGUUAUGACAAAAGAAAUACGUGCCCCGCAAAAAAACUGAAGUUAACUUGUCCAAGGUAAAGAGCUUGCCAAGAGGUAAGGAAAGGACUCCAAUUCAAGUCCUGGUCCCCAAACUUUGUCUAGUAGGUCGACUUUUUACUAGAAUGGCGUGCAUUUUACUUUAAUCACAUAACUUCCAGGGAAAGGGUCUUCACUUUCUUUUUGUUGAAGUUUGAUAUUGUUACAGAGAUAACCUCGAUGUUCUGAAAAAGUCAUUAGCAAAGUGUUUUUCAGAUUUCCUGUUCUUAGAAAGCAUGCUUUCCUAAGUUUUUCAGUCUACAGGUUUCCUUCAGUUUUCUUGACACAUGAGAUAUUUUGAUAACUGUUCUUUACCCUAAAAUAUUUGAUCGUAUACAGUGUCAUGUAAAUGCACAGUGUCAGUUUUAAUCCACCCUCUCGGCAGUCAGCAAACUUGUAACCAGAAAACCGGAAGCUACAACCGCUCUGGUGAUCAAUAGUACAGGUUUUUUGAAAUAGAACAACUGAGUAUUAGAAAUGGAUUUCUUUGGUUAAAGUAAUGACUAAUCACCUAGCAUAAUAGGUGCCAGAAAUAAGUUCUCCAUGACGAAUGGUUUUCAAGCUUCAUGGUUAGGCUAAAAUAGUUUAGGGACACUCCACAUUUGCAUAAGAAGGGUACAGGAAUAUUGCAGAUUCUUUAAAUUUACCCUUGAAAAGGGCACCUGAGCCUGUAUUCUCAAGUUGUCCUGCAUCCAGACGAGUCAGUUAUAAGCUUGAUGAAUCUCGCUUCAGAAUUCUUUCAUCAGCCACAAGUAAAUCGGUCAUUCAGGGUGUGGUCAGGGCAUCUAAAAGGAGAGAGGAUAUCUAGGAGGACCGAAGGUCCUGGUUUGCUUGGGACUGAGAAGUUUCCUGGACUGAUGAGUUCCAUGCUGCCUGGACCGAGGACAAUCCUGAGCAAGCUGGGACCAUUGGUACCUUACUCUGCGGUUCUGUGAAUUGUUAGGUUGCCUGUUUGCUGGUAAAUGAUGAUCUGUGUGUGAGAAUUUGGUCUGACACUUGCUUUAAUUUUACAAAUUACCUGAUAAUUUCGUUGAGGGAAACCUUAUAUUUAUAACACCUAUUCCUCACUGUUGGUGCAACCAGUAUAUUUUUUAAAAACCUGGUGGUUUUGUGGCCGAAUUGACCUAGGGGCAUAUGCAACAGAUUGAGAGGGGUGGAGAACACAUUUUACGUCAUACUGGUCUGGAUAUUUGUGUACCUAUAAAGUCAUAUAAAUGAAACCCUACACAAACACAAACAAACAAAAUGCAAAAACAUACAUAUACGUAACCUGUAAGAAAGAGGCAAAAAUUAUCUUAUGAUCUUGUGGCUAGCAGCCAUCAAAACCUUAACUCUUUAUAUUAUAUUGUAUUUAUAAAAAGUUUUAUAUUCUAAAAAGUUUAUAUUAUAAAUUUAUAUUAUAAAAAGUCUGUACAUGGAGGGAAACUUCAAGGGUCACACCAAGCAAGAUCUUGAGAAUUGUUCGAAAUGACUGAAAACCCCUUCACCCAGGUGUACAUUUACGAGACUACACUUAACCAUGACGAGCAGUUUACUAAUGUAUAGAAUAAUCUAUAGAUUCUAUAGAAUCACUGUAAUGUACACCCGAAACUAAUAUAUCAUUGCAUGUCAACUAUACUGGCUUUAAAAUUAAAUGUGAAAAAUAAAAAAAUGACUGAAACAAAGAUAGUAAUAUACAGUUUGGUUUCUUAGAACAUGAAGAAUCUCCCUUUUUAUAUUUAACAUAAGGAAAAAAAUACAAUUUGCCUUGCCUUUUCCCUUACAUAGUGAUUAUUUGCGUGGUGCUGAAACUUCCAAAAGAAUUACAGAGAAAGGCAAAAGCAAUGCUAAGAGAGUACAUUUUCAAAGAAGAAUGCUUCUUCUGAGGUGUCACGGCUGAGCCUUGGAGAACUUGUCAUUUUGUAGCGUGGAUAGUGUAGGUCCUAACGCACAAGCAUCGCUUGCCAGUAACCUAACUGAAUGUCUGCACUGCAUUUUAACCCAACGUGGCCCGACGUGGUCACUCUCAGAUGGAGUGAAGCUAUUCCCAGUGGUCUGCAGGGUCCUUUUGUUUGCCUGGAUCUUCCAUUAUUUUAUGAGCACAGUAUUGAGCAUGGAAUGCAACCGCCCACUGAAAUGGCAGGCCUUUCGUCUCAACACAGUGCUCUCAAAAUUAUUACAGAGAAGAGAUUAUGCUAAAGGUUUCACAGACACCGAAAGGCAGCCCAGCGGCAGCUAUACUCUACUUGCAAAUUAAAAUCCGAGCUGUGAAUUUCAACAAAUUAGAUGAAUUUGGCUAAUUGUCUCUGCAGUUCAUUACUGAUGAGUCACGAACUUAACAUAUUUCUGGCAUUUUCAGACUCUGGGGUAUCUUUUUAACAGGUACCUGCUGGGGCCAGACUGUAUUUCCAGACCAUUUUGCUAAGCAGGUCAUGAAAAGCCCUGGAAGGCCAUCCUUCUCAUCAUGGGCUUUUUGUCCAGCUACACUAUGAAAAGCAAAAUUAACACUCAGGCCACUAAUCUGAUCUUUUCCUCCCCCCCGCCCCUUUAGGGUUCUAUGAUACAUCCCAUACCACCAUUCCUGGCCUAACCACAAAGUCAUCAUCUGGGUUACUCACAUGAUCCUCUCAUGUCUUCAAUUCAUUUAGGCCUUUAAGACUGAAGGAUGAGCGGAUUUUGUGAGAGUUUCAGAUUCAGCCUCAUAGGGCUUAUCAUCUCAGAAAAAAGCAAGUAGGAUAAGGGUAAAAUCAAUCAUUAUCGGUCAGCGAUUGAGUUGGAAAGUUUAUUUCAAGGGAGAGAAUAGCUGGGCUGUUGGAGGUUUCUCACUCAAGGAACAGGAGUUUUUCUAUGCUUUCAGUAUGGGUUUCUAGUGGCAAAUCAGGGAAAUAGCCUUGGGUUCUGUGGGACAAUCUGGUGGAGAUCUGAAGUGACAAGCACGGGAAAGGAUGAGAGGAAAAUGGCCCCACCUCAUAGUGUCUCCCUCCUUCCUGAUUUCCAGCAACAAGAUGGAGCUAAAACCACCCAUUGCUACUUGUUCACAACAUAUUAUCUACUCCUCCAUGCACUCUCCUCAAGAGAUUUCUUCACCCCUUAUCGGCUUCCUGGGGGGUGCAUUUUAGCCAGAUUUCACUGGAUUUCAAUGGAUAGGGGGUGGGACGUUUCAUUCUAUAAGACCUGUUUGGAGCUUCUCAUCUUACAUAUGGCCCUGUUCAACUUUGGAUUUAGCAAGAAAAACAUGAGCCACCCAGCACACAUUUCAGAAAGAUCACCUAGUUAGGUUCACAACUUACUAACACAUACCAGGCAGAAAAAUGAAUUCCCCACCAACCAAAUAACUGCUCUUCAUUAACUGGGUCAGUCAACUCUAGAGAGCUUAGGUAAAUUAAGAACUAUAUACACAUAUAUUAUAAAGUGGAAGUUCUGAAGUCUAAUUUAAGAACACUCAAAUAUCUUUUUUUUUUUUAAAGUAAUCUCUACACCCAACGUGCAGCUCAAAUGCACAGCCUCCAGAUCAAGAGUUGCAUGCUCUCUGGCCGACCCAGCCAGGUGCCCGUCAAGUAUCUUUUUGAAUGAGCAGAACUGGAUAGUUCAGAGGUUACUCUAACUUUGAGCAUGCAUUCUCCUGUGACCUUGGCAAGGAGUGCUUUCCCUGGGUGAUUUCCAAAAUAUUAACAGGGCACAAAUUAUAGUGGACUCAACCACGCAUCAGCAAGACUUCCAGCUUUGAACACCAGGGUGCUGCACACAGCACGUGAGGCUUCAGAUCAGCCCUGCUGCCUCGGUGGUGGCCUCACUUGGCCGGGUGUACAGAAAACCUUGACUCAGUGUUUGUUCUACGAUCUGACUCAUUGUAACAUGUUGAUUGUCCCAAACAGGAACUAGAGACACAGUGUCCCAUCUCCAUCCCAGAGGUCAGGUGGGGCCAGCUCCCGCCUGACGCAUCCCAUGGGCUGAGCUUUUAGCUGUAAACUGCUGUGGAUGGUCUGGCUUCUCUCAGAGAUUGUGGGAUAGAAGGGGCCACCACAUUUUUUUCAGAGGUUUCAAAGGUUACUCAGUCUAUUUUAUAGACUCCCCCAAAGAUGGUUAUGAUGACACACAAAUUGUUCCUUCACAGUUUGAGCAAUCAUGAAAUACGUCCCAUAAUUCCUCACCAUUUCUGAGCUCUGGGCCAGUUCCAAAUAAUAAAAGCCAUCUUUCUCAGUGACUGCCUUUCUCUGCUAGUUGUGAGGGACAAAGGACAGGGCACCACACUGACUGCGUGAAAACGUAAGCCACGUCUACCAUGCUAUUGAUACUUUUCCUCUUCAAAAGCAGCGAUGUCCCGUGAAAGGUGACUCUCCAAAGUGGUUCUACCAGCCAUGUGGUCAGCUUUGGGGCUGGUGUUUCAACCAAGGAGAGGAAACGUAGGUAAACUCGAUUGGAAUAACAACCGGAAAAAUUGCACCAAAAGAGGUGAGGACAGAUCCAGAACCUUCCUGAUCGAUUCAGCUGGCAUCUGUGAGGACACCACUGGACCUCAGCUGAUGGAGUCCACUGCAGUCGUGACUCCAGAACCAUCUGCAGCUUCCACCUGAGAGCAUCCUUUCUGCCCUCAAAUCACUCCCUUUCCUUCUCACAUCUGAAAAUCUCACCAUAAUACAUAAUUCUUCCCUUUUCCUUAACUAACCUCAAAUGCUGCCAAUGAUUUUUCUGAAACGUCUCUUGAAUCUGUCAUGUUUGUCUAUCUCUGUGGCCACAGCUAGUCUUCUUAAUCCUGCCUUCUCUUUAUAAAACCCAUCUUCCCCUCUUGCUACCUCAGUGAUUGUAGUCUAAAACUUGGUGCUCCUACCUAAAUAAAUAUAUUUUCUCCAGGA